GUCAGGAUGUAUAUUAGAAAAGGAAAAUUAGAAUAAAGGGCUAAAUGUUGAAACAGACAGAGUAAUAGAGUUUCAGCAAUGCAAUGUAACUAGGCUAGGUAUGAGGGGAAGUAAGGCAAGACAGCAUGGGUUCAAUUCAGCCUAUACCAGCUCCUGGUAGAACAGCCCCGCAUGUUGGUGCAUUUCCAAUGGUUCAGCGUUAGGAAAGUCGUCCAUAUGGAGACGGUGCCUGAGCAGCCUCUGUGAUUCCCUCUAUAUGCCUCAGCCCCCAGGUCUCCCCUUUCUCAGCUUCAGAGCAGGCUUCAUCCCAGCCCGUCUUGAUUUUGGCCAUCUUGAUGUGUGCCGUCAGGUCUGCGCCUUUGGAGGGCUGGUGACCCUGUGUCGCGCCCAGAGGUGGCAGAAAGGUCGCACAGGUAAGUGUGCUGGGGGACCUGUAAGACAGGGAUGAGGAGCCUGAGGUGCAGCUUCUGCCAAAAUUCUUCGAAGAGGCUGUCUAAGCUCCACAGAGC